GCCUGGGUGGCUUAGUCAGUUGAGUGUCUGACUUCAGCUCAGGUCAUGAUCUCACAGUUUGUGGGUUCAAGCCCCAUCUCGGGCU
rnacentral:tRNA from 1 species